GACGAACGCUGGCGGCGUGCUUAACACAUGCAAGUCGAACGGAAAGGCCCUGCUUUUGUGGGGUGCUCGAGUGGCGAACGGGUGAGUAACACGUGAGUAACCUGCCCUUGACUUUGGGAUAACUUCAGGAAACUGGGGCUAAUACCGGAUAGGAGCUCCUGCUGCAUGGUGGGGGCUGGAAAGUUUCGGCGGUUGGGGAUGGACUCGCGGCUUAUCAGCUUGUUGGUGGGGUAGUGGCUUACCAAGGCUUUGACGGGUAGCCGGCCUGAGAGGGUGACCGGAAAGAGGGGGGCUGGGAGCAGGCGAAGAGUGCGAGGGGAAGAGUGGGGGAGAAAGAGGGAAGGCGGGGAGGGAGCGGGAGGGAGGAAAGGGGCGAGCGGGAGGAGGGCGUUCGGGUGGGAAACCGCGGAGUAGUGGGGGGGAGGGAGAGUGACGGAAAGGGGAAAAGAAGGACCGGCGAAGGACGGGGCAGGAGGCGGGAGAAUAAUGAGAAGAGAAAAGGCAUGAAC
rnacentral:rRNA from 1 species